GUUGUGGUUAAAAAGCUCGUAGUUGGAUCUCAACAGCCUUGAAGCGGUUAACUUUGUAGUUUUACUGCUUUAUAGGCUGUGCUUUUGCUGGAGGUUUAGGGGUGCUCUUGAUCGAGUGUCUCUGGAUGCCAGUAGGUUUACUUUGAAAAAAUUAGAGUGCUCAAAGCAGGCUAAAAUGCCUGAAUAUUCGUGCAUGGAAUAAUAGAAUAGGAUGUCGAUCCUAUUUUGUUGGUUUUCGGGACUCGACAUAAUGAUAAAUAGGGACAGUCGGGGGCAUUUGUAUUCAAACGACAGAGGUGAAAUUCUUGGACCGUUUGAAGACAAACUACUGCGAAAGCAUUUGCCAAGAAUGUUUUCAUUAAUCAAGAACGAAAGUUAGAGGUUCGAAGGCGAUUAGAUACCGCCCUAGUUCUAACUAUAAACGAUGCCAGCUAGCGAUCUGCCUGCGUUUUUACUGUAGACUGGGCAGGAAGCUUCCGGGAAACCAAAGCAUUUGGGUUCCAGGGGAAGUAUGGUUGCAAAGCUGAAACUUAAAGGAAUUGACGGAAGGGCACCACCAGGAGUGGAGCCUGUGGCUUAAUUUGACUCAACACGGGAAAUCUCACCAGGCCCGGACACUGGAA
rnacentral:rRNA from 1 species